rnacentral:rRNA from 1 species
UACGAACUGUGCGAACGUUAUUCGGAAUCACUGGGCUUAAAGGGUGCGUAGGCGGCUUCGCAAGUCAGGUGUGAAAUCCCCCGGCUCAACCGGGGAAUGGCGCUUGAAACUGCGGGGCUCGAGCGAGACAGGGGUGUGCGGAACUUCCGGUGGAGCGGUGAAAUGUGUAGAUAUCGGAAGGAACGCCGGCGGCGAAAGCGGCACACUGGGUCUUUUCUGACGCUGAGGCACGAAAGCUAGGGGAGUGAACGGG